rnacentral:rRNA from 1 species
AUGGUGGGGGCGGCACCCGAGCAAAUAAAUCUGCCUCAGCUCCACUCUCACACCGGCGGUGUCCUUCAUGGCGGCAUCUCGAAGUUGAUGGCAUCAUGUGUUUGUCGAUCCUUCAUAUCAGCAGCGUUAGUGUUCAUGGAUGGUGUUGGCGAGGCAGCGACAGCGACCCUUUCAGGUGUGUCUCCCCUUCUGCUCUCUCCAUCUUACUGCGGCGUUGUCUCCGACGUCACGGUGGAGCGGGGAGGUUUUGGCGUCCUGGAGUACGCGCAAACAUUUGUCUACGCGGGUGAUAGCUGGAAGAAGGUGCAUCCUGGGUUGGUGAUUGGAGGCUGA